AACUGAAAUCAAAACUUUUCACGAGUGAAAUCACCCGCUGAGUUUUCCAAAAAAAGGAAAAAAAAAAAAAAAAAAAGAGUUGGCAAGAAAAAGACAUUGUCUUUUAUGAAUAAACAAUCGUAUAGCUUUCCAUUACAAAUUGAUAUAAUAAUAGAAGUGAGCUUGUUGUUCAUAUUUAUCUGCACAAAGUGUAGUGAUAGUUCAUGAGAUGAUGAGUAUGGCGAUUUGCAGGGUGAGAGCAGCACUGCUUUCUCUUUCCAACCACAAAUCUUCUCUUAUAUCCUCUUCUUCUUCUUCUUCUUCUUCUUCUUCAAUACGCAGUUUUUCAUCAUCCCAGUUUGAGAGUGUUGGGUUCAUUGGGCUGGGAAAUAUGGGCUCCAGAAUGGUGAAUAAUCUUUUGAAGGCUGGAUACAAUGUGACUGUUCAUGACAUAAAUUGUAAUGCCAUGAAGAAGUUCUCUGAUAUGGGAGUUCCAACAAAAGAAACACCUUUUGAAGUUGCAGAAGCAAGUGAUGUUGUAAUAACAAUGUUGCCUUCUUCAUCUCAUGUAUUUGAUGUUUUCACUGGACCAAAAGGUUUGCUUCAAGGUGGCAAUCUCCUAAGACCAUGGUUAUUAAUAGAUUCAUCUACUAUUGAUCCACAAACAUCGAGAAAGCUUUCUGUGACUGUAUCUAAAUGUAAUUUAAAGGGAAAGAAAGACAAUUUGGUAAUUCCUGUCAUGUUGGAUGCUCCAGUAUCUGGGGGUGUUCUUGCUGCAGAAGCUGGCACACUUACUUUCAUGGUUGGUGGAUCCGAGGAAGCUUUUCUGGCUGCAAAACCCUUAUUCCUUUCAAUGGGCCAAAACACAAUAUAUUGUGGGAAAGCAGGAAAUGGUUCAGCCGCAAAGAUCUGCAAUAAUUUGGCAAUGGCUAUUAGCAUGCUUGGUGUUUCAGAAGCCCUUGCUCUUGGUCAGUCUCUGGGAAUUUCUGCCAGUACUCUGACAAAAGUAUUCAACUCUUCAAGUGCUCGCUGUUGGAGUAGUGACAGCUAUAAUCCAGUUCCUGGAGUGAUGGAAGGAGCACCCUCUUCUAGGAAUUAUGACGGUGGGUUUGCAUCUAAGCUUAUGGCUAAAGACUUAAACCUUGCAGCAGAAUCAGCCAAAGACAUUGGUCAAAAAUGCCCAUUAACAUCCCAUGCUCUAGAGAUAUGUGGUUCUGUGUGGAGUACACAACUAUAAAGUUGGUUGUUUCCAUCUUUUUUCCUCCCUCAUUUUCAGUUGUUGUUCUGUGUGGAGUAAACAACUAUAAAGUUUAAGGUUGUUGAGUUGGUCGCUUGAAUAGUGCACAUGGAAGUGCACAAAGCACUAAGUCUUAGCUAUGUACAACAAAACCACUUUUUCCUACUGCUAAUAGAAUUGGGUAUCCUCCACGGAAAGCACAAACCAACUGCAGUCAACCAUAUAUAUCUGGCCAAAGAUAUACAGAGCUUUGCAAGGAUGGCAAUGAAACUAGGGACUUCUCCUGUGUUUUCCGUCAUUAUUACUCUGGCAUGGAUGAGUUAUAGUUCAACCAGUAAAUGAAAUGCUUGUAUUCAGCCAAAGAAAAAGGUUU